rnacentral:rRNA from 1 species
UACGGGAGGCAGCAGUGGGGAAUAUUGCACAAUGGGCGCAAGCCUGAUGCAGCCAUGCCGCGUGUAUGAAAAAGGCCUUCGGGUUGUAAAGUACUUUCAGUCGUGAGGAAGGUGUUAAGGUUAAUAACCUUAGCAAUUGACGUUAGCGACAGAAGAAGCACCGGCUAACUCCGUGCCAGCAGCCGCGGUAAUACGGAGGGUGCGAGCGUUAAUCGGAAUUACUGGGCGUAAAGGGCACGCAGGCGGUUAAUUAAGUUGGAUGUGAAAUCCCCGGGCUUAACCUGGGAAUGGCAUUCAAGACUGGUUAGCUAGAGUCUUGUAGAGGGGGUAGAAUUCCAUGUGUAGCGGUGAAAUGCGUAGAGAUGUGGAGGAAUACCGGUGGCGAAGGCGGCCCCUGGGACAAAGGACUGACGCUCAUGUGCGAAAGCGUGGGGAGCGAAACAGGGAUUAGAUACC